UGAAAUCAGCACGCAAAUAUUUAGGAAUCGAGUUUAGACAAAUUAGGUCACCAUUUCUCUUCUAAUUAAGGAUUAGAUUGGACUGCAAGAAAAAUUGUAGCAUUUUAUUGUAUGUAUCAUGCUUAGUGCAUUGCACUGAGCAUCCUUAAACAGAUUGCUCUCAGAUAAGUGAUUAUCUGAGAUAUUUAUGUCAUCUUCCUUGUGAGACAUUGCAGAUGGAAAAAACACCAGUAGAAUUUCUGAAAAUACACCUAAUAACAAACCUAUUCAGUGUCUUGUUGGUACCUAACUUUGCUGAAUACCGCAGCACAGACAACUCAGACUAAAGUAUCAAUCCUUUUACUUCAAAAUAAUUUUCUGUAUAAAUCUCCAUCU
rnacentral:lncRNA from 1 species